GUAGGGAAUCUUCCGCAAUGGACGAAAGUCUGACGGAGCAACGCCGCGUGAGUGAUGAAGGUUUUCGGAUCGUAAAGCUCUGUUGUUAGGGAAGAACAAGUGCCGUUCAAAUAGGGCGGCACCUUGACGGUACCUAACCAGAAAGCCACGGCUAACUACGUGCCAGCAGCCGCGGUAAUACGUAGGUGGCAAGCGUUGUCCGGAAUUAUUGGGCGUAAAGGGCUCGCAGGCGGUUUCUUAAGUCUGAUGUGAAAGCCCCCGGCUCAACCGGGGAGGGUCAUUGGAAACUGGGGAACUUGAGUGCAGAAGAGGAGAGUGGAAUUCCACGUGUAGCGGUGAAAUGCGUAGAGAUGUGGAGGAACACCAGUGGCGAAGGCGACUCUCUGGUCUGUAACUGACGCUGAGGAGCGAAAGCGUGGGGAGCGAACAGGAUUAGAUACCCUGGUAGUCCACGCCGUAAACGAUGAGUGCUAAGUGUUAGGGGGUUUCCGCCCCUUAGUGCUGCAGC
rnacentral:rRNA from 1 species